rnacentral:rRNA from 1 species
GAUGAACGCUGGCGGCGUGCCUAAUACAUGCAAGUCGAGCGAACAGACGAGGAGCUUGCUCCUCUGACGUUAGCGGCGGACGGGUGAGUAACACGUGGAUAACCUACCUAUAAGACUGGGAUAACUUCGGGAAACCGGAGCUAAUACCGGAUAAUAUAUUGAACCGCAUGGUUCAAUAGUGAAAGACGGUUUUGCUGUCACUUAUAGAUGGAUCCGCGCCGCAUUAGCUAGUUGGUAAGGUAACGGCUUACCAAGGCAACGAUGCGUAGCCGACCUGAGAGGGUGGUCGGCCACACUGGAACUGAGACACGGUCCAGACUCCUACGGGAGGCAGCAGUAGGGAAUCUUCCGCAAUGGGCGAGAGCUUGACGGAGCAACGCCGCGUGAGUGAUGAAGGUCUUCGGAUCGUAAAACUCUGUUAUUCGGGAAGAACAAAUGUGUAAGUAACUAUGCACGUCUUGACGGUACCUAAUCAGAAAGCCACGGCUAACUACGUG